AUCUCGUUACCAUUGUAUAUGACAUUUAUUUCUCGUAGUAAAAAAUAAUUAGGUAUAGAAUAAUAGUAUUACUAUCAUUGUUAAAAUCAUCUUUGUCUUCGGAAGAAUGAUACGCGGUUGAAAUGACUGCUAAUUAAAUGACAGGAAUAUUGGAACAUAAUGCGAAGAUGAUGAAGAAACGAAAGAGGAAACGCGUCGAAACGAGAGUAGGAACUCUGCGUCAGCGUUAUCGUAUUUAUUUGACCGAAGAUCCAACUUCAAAUACUACUUCUAGUAAAACUUGUCAUCGACUAAGUGUUCUUCGAAAAAUGAAGAAAAGGUGAUGGGGGUAAAAGAAGAUCAGGAGAAGGAGGAAUACGACGACGAUUGGCCAGUGUUGGGUGAAAUAUCGUCAUCGUCGGGAAAAACCGGGCGAUUAUAUUGCUGCGUUUUGGACCGAUCGUGGUAGAAAAAGAAAAAAAAAGAAAAAAAAAACAAAUGGAAGAUAAACAAACUACGAUCAUUCUCCAUAUACACGAUAACGAGAUCCUUAAGUGCAGUAGGAUAAUUAAUCAUUAAGCAAGAACAUAAACUUGCGUUUUAUCGACAACAUACUAUCGUUCUCGUACUUGUCUUUGAACGAUACAAAGAUUCAUUCCUUGAUAUGCUGGACAUAGAAAAGAAAGAUCUUUUCAUUGAUAAAAUGUUUGAAAUCCUUUCCUCUUCGACAUUUUUCUCUUCCUAUCAUAAUCUAUCAUACCAAAAAUAAAGAUAUGCAUGUAUACAUAUACAUACAUACAUAUACAUAAAAUACGUAUUUUCUUCGUCUCGCAUGUUUAUAUGAAAAUAUUCGAAAAAAGAACAAGAAAAGUACGACGCGACAGAAAAGAAAAAUUGUUUUAAUACAGUUUUGUGCGUUGUCGAGAUAAUCCUCCUUCUCCUUUUAGCUUCGUAAAAAUUUCGCAAAAGUUUCUUUUGUUAUCUAAGUGCAACAAUAUUUCCCACCGGAUAUAGGAUAGGUAGGCUCGCUAGAAAUGCACAUGCAUGUCUUUUGUUGUUGUUUUUAUUGUUGUUUAAUAAUAUGUAACAUGCUUCGCGUCAAAUCCUAAUACUAAUCCGCUUGAAAGCUUCUAUCGAUAUACCAGCAUGAUGUAAAAUAAAUAUAUACUAUGAUUUCGUUUACUUGGCGGUUCAUUGAUCUUGGUAAUGUAUAUUAUUAAGAUGCAAGAACCUACGUUGAUACGCGUAUCGACUAUCAACGAGGGAUAAAACUAAAGUUGCGUUAAUAUUAAGUCGCGACGAUAAAUUAGACAUAAAGAUAAAGAGACAGGAUAUAUCGUAAACGCGAGACCCGUUGGAUAGUUCGUCGCGCUGAGCUAUAAUAUUCGCAAAUUCUGCAGGAAGUUUGCCCACACGUAGCUUUUCUCUCUCUCGUUUAGGAAGGAAUUGAAGGCAAUUGGCUUCGCGUAACACGCGCCCAUUUAAAACUAUCCUCCUUAUUCUUUCCUUCUCUUCCCUUCUCUUCUCAUCUCGUUGUCGUCUCAAGUUUUUUACACCCACGCGGGAUCUUUCGUCAAUAAAUACCUUAUUUUCAGGUCGAGACAAAAUUGAGAAAGGAGAUUGAAGUAUUUAGAACGAUAAGACUUUAGCAUAAAGGAAAUUUACU